rnacentral:rRNA from 1 species
UACGUAGGGGGCAAGCGUUGUCCGGAUUUAUUGGGCGUAAAGAGCGUGUAGGCGGCUUUGCAAGUCCGUUGUUGAAAACUCGAGGCUCAACCUCGAGACGCCGGUGGAACUGCAAAGCUAGAGUCCGGAAGAGGAGAGUGGAAUUCCUGGUGUAGCGGUGAAAUGCGCAGAUAUCAGGAAGAACACCCGUGGCGAAGGCGGCUCUCUGGGACGGUACUGACGCUGAGACGCGAAGCGUGGGAGCGAACAGGAU